rnacentral:lncRNA from 1 species
CAGAGCAUUAGUAGCAGCUUGUUUUAUGAAUCAUUACCACCCCUUCCAAAUUACUGAGGAAGAAGCAAUACACUGUUUGACAAAUGCAGCAUUUUAAAAUGACUGUAAAGAAAUAUAAGUUUAACUGUAAACAUUUCUUUUCCCCUAGGUUCCUUAAGGACAUUUGCUGGAGUUACAUUUACAGUAAAGUCAAAUCCUAGUUGAACCAGAAAAUCUAUUCCAAAGCAACGGCUUGUUCUUGCUGUUUUGGAGCUCUCUCCAUAUGUGCUAAAAGCCAGCUAAACUGUGUUUUGGUUGGGUUUUGUUUGCAGGUUUGUUUUUUGUUUGUUUGUUUGUUUGUUUUUUACCGAAUAUUGCAAAGUGUGAGGAAUCUGGACUAUUGCCAAUGGCCACAUUUCAUCUCAAUAAGCCAAAUCCCAGUUAAGGGCCUCUCUUGGCUACUUAAUUUGUAGGCACGGUCCCCAGAGUCUGACUAAGUGCCAAGUCUGAUAUUUGUGUGAAAUGCCUUAAACCAGGCAAAUAAAUAAAGUAUUUUGUAUUCUAGCUCUUAAACUAAGUAAAUGGAAUGUGUUGGCUCCUAAUAGUUCAAGUAACAUGUGGAAGUUGUCUGUUGGUUGUUAGAUAAGUGUUACGAGAUGAGGAGACCUCUGAGGAAGGCUGCAGAAAUGUGGAGGUAAUAAACUGUUUGCCUAACAUUGUUUUAGAUAAUGAGAGUGCAGAACAAGAGAUGAAUAAGAACAAAAAGCUGCCUGCAUGCAGAAUGCCUCCACAGAGUUACAGAUACUGAAAAUAUUUCUGUAGUAGAUCUGCUGAAUAAAAGAAAGGAAGAUAUUGACAGUGUUAAUAACUUGAAAGAUACUAACUUAAUUUUUAAAGGGAGGACAAUUGAGACAGAGAAAAGGCUUAACUUGGAAACAUUGCCUGGAUUUAAUGGCAUUUUAAAUAUAAUGGCAACUUUGAGGAUAAUAAAAAGCUACAGAAUUUGAAAGACCAUAUAAGCUGUUGCAAGAAUCCAAGAAUGUCAUAGCUCAGACAAUUCAGGAUUUUUUCAAAUAUCUUCAGAGAAAUUUGCUUGAGACUAUGAAACAGAUUAAAUUGCAGUCUAAAGCUGAUAGUCUUGUUUGGCUGAUAACACAUAAAUAAUUUUUCAUUUGUGGUAAGUCGCUUGUGGAUACCUUAUUUUAAUUUAGAUAGAACAUAAUGAUAUAGUUUAAAACUACAAUAUAUAGAGAUACAGCUAACAGUAUAGACAGGCAGGCAUCUCACACAGGAAACCUCCACUGCCAGCUGACUCACAGCAGAGCAGGGUGACACAGGUUACAGCCAAGAUCUCGGCUAAAAGGCUCUUGAACCACAGCCUUUCUGAACCACAGCAAGUUCUGCAGUCAUGGGUGAUGAUGUUUAAUGAUGAACUGGCUCAGAGAAAACAUCUCACCUGAAAAUAAAAUAUUUCACAUGGAAAAUUUUGUUUUGCUG